rnacentral:rRNA from 1 species
GAUGAACGCUAGCUACAGGCUUAACACAUGCAAGUCGAGGGGCAGCAUCAUCAAAGCUUGCUUUGAUGGAUGGCGACCGGCGCACGGGUGAGUAACACGUAUCCAACCUGCCGACAACACUGGGAUAGCCUUUCGAAAGAAAGAUUAAUACCGGAUGGCAUAAUUAUUCCGCAUGGGAUAAUUAUUAAAGAAUUUCGGUUGUCGAUGGGGAUGCGUUCCAUUAGGCAGUUGGCGGGGUAACGGCCCACCAAACCUACGAUGGAUAGGGGUUCUGAGAGGAAGGUCCCCCACAUUGGAACUGAGACACGGUCCAAACUCCUACGGGAGGCAGCAGUGAGGAAUAUUGGUCAAUGGACGAGAGUCUGAACCAGCCAAGUAGCGUGAAGGAUGACUGCCCUAUGGGUUGUAAACUUCUUUUAUACGGGAAUAAAGUGAGCCACGUGUGGCUUUUUGUAUGUACCGUAUGAAUAAGGAUCGGCUAACUCCGUGCCAGCAGCCGCGGUAAUACGGAGGAUCCGAGCGUUAUCCGGAUUUAUUGGGUUUAAAGGGAGCGUACGCGGGUUGUUAAGUCAGUUGUGAAAGUUUGCGACUCAACCGUAAAAUUGCAGUUGAUACUGGCGACCUUGAGUGCCACAGAGGUAGGCGGAAUUCGUGGUGUAGCGGUGAAAUGCUUAGAUAUCACGAAGAACUCCGAUUGCCAAGGCCGCUUUACUGGAUUGUAACUGACGCUGAUGCUCGAAAGUGUGGGUAUCAAACAGGAUUAGAUACCGUGGUAGUCCACACAGUAAACGAUGAAUACUCGCUGUUGGAGAUAUACAGUCAGCGGACAAGAGAAAGCAUUAAGUAUUCCACGUGGGGAGUACGCCGGCAACGGUGAAACUCAAAGGAAUUGACGGGGGCCCGCACAAGCGGAGGAACAUGUGGUUUAAUUAGAUGAUACGCGAGGAACCUUACCCGGGCUUAAAUUGCAACUGACGGAACCGGAAACGGUUCUUUGUUCGGACAGUUGUGAAGGUGCUGCAUGGUUGUCGUCAGCUCGUGCCGUGAGGUGUCGGCUUAAGUGCCAUAACGAGCGCAACCCUUACGGGUAGUUACCAUCAGGUUAUGCUGGGGACUCUACCCGGACUGCCGUCGUAAGAUGUGAGGAAGGUGGGGAUGACGUCAAAUCAGCACGGCCCUUACGUCCGGGGCUACACACGUGUUACAAUGGGGGGUACAGAAGGCAGCUACACGGCGACGUGGUGCUAAUCCCAAAAGCCUCUCUCAGUUCGGAUUGGAGUCUGCAACCCGACUCCAUGAAGCUGGAUUCGCUAGUAAUCGCGCAUCAGCCACGGCGCGGUGAAUACGUUCCCGGGCCUUGUACACACCGCCCGUCAAGCCAUGAAAGCCGGGGGUACCUGAAGUACGUAACCGCGAGGAGCGUCCUAGGGUA